rnacentral:lncRNA from 10 species
UAAGUUUUGUUAAAUUUGAGUAAGAAGACCUGUUUGUUUCCUCAAGUUGCUUAUAAUCUAGGUGAGGACACAUCUGAGAGAAUAACUAAUAGUUCAGUGAAGUUAAAAACAACAACAACAACAACAAAAACACAAAACCCUGAGGCUCAGAAGAUAAAUAUUUGCUGAAGAUCACUGUGCUUAUUAGAUGGGUGUUACUGAUUCUUACCUCAGAGAAGAGAAUGUCAUGGAGACAAAAUGACCUGCUUAGAGUUCUGCACCCCCCAGCAUGGAGAGCAGAGCGCAAAGAUUUCUUCCGGACUCCCACAUUCCCCUUGGAAUCCAAGAACUGGUCUACUGUCACAACACUUUAGUACCCUCUUCUCCCAAGGAGGCAGCAGAAACUGGGGUAAUCACAACGGUCAACAGCAGCAAAGGCAGCACUUUCUGAUUUACUUGACUGCUAUGGAUGCCACCUCUCUCCACGCCUCAGUUUAAUAUCUGUAAGUUUGGUCAGUAUCUCAUUCAAGAACAUUGCAUUUACUCUG